AUUGAACGCUGGCGGCAGGCCUAACACAUGCAAGUCGAGCGGAUGAGUGGAGCUUGCUCCAUGAUUCAGCGGCGGACGGGUGAGUAAUGCCUAGGAAUCUGCCUGGUAGUGGGGGACAACGUUUCGAAAGGAACGCUAAUACCGCAUACGUCCUACGGGCGAAAGGGGGGGAUCUUCGGACCUCACGCUAUCAGAAGAGCUUAGGUCGGAUUAGCUAGUUGGUGAGGUAAAGGCUCACCAAGGCGGCGAUCCGUAACUGGUCUUAGAGGAUGAUCAGUCAAACUGGAACUGAGACACGGUCCAGACUCCUACGGGAGGCAGCAGUGGGGAAUAUUGGACAAUGGGCGAAAGCCUGAUCCAGCCAUGCCGCGUGUGUGAAGAGGGUCUUCGGAUUGUAAAGCACUUUAAGUUGGGAGGAAGGGCAGUAAGUUAAUACCUUGCUGUUUUGACGUUACCAACAGAAUAAGCACCGGCUAACUUCGUGCCAGCCGCCGCCGUAAUAC
rnacentral:rRNA from 1 species